GUUAGAUAGAGUGCAUCAUGCACCUCUGAGAAUUGAUUUUGUCAUUAAGAAUGACAAUAUGAUCAACAUCAUUCAAGAUGAUGAUCUAUUGACCUAUUCAGAAGUUGUCAUGAGUAGAGACUCAGACAGAUGGUUGAAAGCCAUGAAAUAUGAGAUGGACUCGAUGUAUAUCAACUAAGUGCGGACUUUGGUUGAUGCACCUAAGGGUGUGAUCCCAAUAGGG
rnacentral:lncRNA from 1 species